UUCAGCCAGGAAGAAUACAUACGCAUCUACAGGUUUUACAGGGCACUGUUGGAAGUUCAGAUAUUGCGGUCGUUCCUAACCGCAUUUUGAUAAGAUUGUGGUUGUUCUUAACCACAUGUAGGAUUUUAUGUGACUUGUUCAUUCAACUUAAUUUUAGUGACUUAUUGAAAGGGUUUUGAAGUUAGUCAAGUGUCAAUGAAAACAGUCGUAAUACUAUUGAAACAUUGCACAAAUCCUGUCUCCUGGGCCUUGGCGUGAAUACUGUGUCAACGAUAUUACGGGCCUUCCACGACAACAUCUCAGCAACAGCUGUGGUGUCUUUGUCCUGAUGUAUUCACUGUACUUUGUGACAUCAGGGGCCUUUGAUUUUACAGAGG